CGACCGGCGCACGGGUGAGUAACACGUAUCCAACCUGCCGAUGACUCGGGGAUAGCCUUUCGAAAGAAAGAUUAAUACCCGAUGGCAUAGUUCUUCCGCAUGGUAGAACUAUUAAAGAAUUUCGGUCAUCGAUGGGGAUGCGUUCCAUUAGGUUGUUGGCGGGGUAACGGCCCACCAAGCCUUCGAUGGAUAGGGGUUCUGAGAGGAAGGUCCCCCACAUUGGAACUGAGACACGGUCCAAACUCCUACGGGAGGCAGCAUG
rnacentral:rRNA from 1 species